rnacentral:lncRNA from 1 species
UAAGAUAGCAAGGCAGUGCAGCCUGAGUGGAUAGGAUAAUGGGACAAGCUGGACCUGGGAUGAGAGUAACAAGUACAUGAGAGAGGAAAUGAGAAUGAUGAGUUCCCACCAGCUCCUUGGCUGCUUUCUUACCCAUAUAUUUCUCUGUCCCUAGAUGUUUGUUUUUUUUCUUCAUUCGUAUAUUAUUUGGAAGAGGAAUUGUAGAGGAACAGCAUGGAGUGUAAUACAGAAUCAUAUUUCAUGCAUGCUAACUACUCGGGGAAAAGAUUUGUAUAAGCCUGGGAGUUUGACUGUUGGCUAAAGUGAAAUGGAGGGAUUAGUAGAGAAUGAAAAUUGUUCAGGCUGUUUGCUCGUCAUUGGAAAGAAUUGGAUGUGUUGUGAACCUAGGAAAGCGCUCACAUUCAGUCAUCCCCCUGUUUGGGAUAGGUUUGAGGAACUACUGGCCAACCUACUAAAUGAACAACAUCAGAUAGCAAAGGAACUAUUUGAACAGCUGAAGAUGAAGAAAUCUUCAGCCAAACAGCAGAAGGAGGUAGAGAAGGUUAAACCCCAGUGUAAGGAAGUUCAUCAGACCCUGAUUCUGGACCCAGCACAGAGGAAGAGACUCCAGCAGCAGAUGCAGCAGAAAGAGCUGGGAACCUUUGCUCAAAGCUCCAUCGCCCUUCACCAUCAGUACAACCCCAAGUUUCAGACCCUGUUCCAACCCUGUAACUUGAUGGGAGCUAUGCAGCUUAUUGAAGACUUCAGCACACAUGUCAGCAUUGACUGCAGCCCUCAUAAAACUGUCAAGAAGACUGCCAAUGAAUUUCCCUGUUUGCCAAAGCAAGUGGCUUGGAUCCUGGCCACAAGCAAGGUUUUCAUGUACCCAGAGUUACUUCCAGUGUGUUCCCUGAAGGCAAAGAAUCCCCAGGAUAAGAUCCUCUUCACCAAAGCUGAGGACAAUUUGUUAGCUUUAGGACUGAAGCAUUUUGAAGGGACUGAGUUUCUUAACCCUCUAAUCAGCAAGUACCUUCUAACCUGCAAGACUGCCCGCCAACUGACAGUGAGAAUCAAGAACCUCAACAUGAACAGAGCUCCUGACAACAUCAUUAAAGUGAGUGUUUCCUGCAUGUGCCAUCCAGGCACCUCACUAAUACAUAUCCAUUCUUUUCUCUUGUUAUUCUGAAAGGAAAGAAGAACCUUAUUUUAUCUUAAGCUAAUUUCUCCUACUUAUACACUAGAUGAAUUCCCCUGUUGCCUUUUCAGGGAUAUUGACUCAUUCAUUACAUUCCUCUGGAGUAUCUUCAUCCUGUUAAAAGAUUUCACAAAUCCAUGUUUCCCUGUAAUAAUUCUUUCUUGAACUUUUUUUUUUUUUUUUUUUUUUUUUUUU